GCCUGGGUAGCUCAGUCGGUUGAGCGUCCGACUUCGGCUCAGGUCGUGAUCUCACGGUCUGUGAGUUCGAGCCCCACAUUGGGCU
rnacentral:tRNA from 1 species